rnacentral:rRNA from 1 species
UCGAGAGGUGUAAGACCUCGGCAUACUGCUCAGUAACACGUGGUUAACCUGCCCUAAGGCGGAGCAUACUCCCGGGAAACUGGGGCUAAUACUCCAUAGUGGAUAUGUCCUGGAAUGGUAUAUCCUCGAAAGAUCCGUCGCCUUAGGAUGGGACUGCGUCCGAUUAGGUUGUUGGCGGGGUAACGGCCCACCAAGCCUUUUAUCGGUACGGGUUGUGGGAGCAAGAUCCCGGAGAUGGACUCUGAGACAUGAAUCCAGGCCCUACGGGGCGCAGCAGGCGCGCAAACUUUACAAUGCGAGCAAUCGUGAUAAGGAAACCCUGAGUGCCUGUCGAUGCAGGCUGUUCAUAUAUCUAAAUCAUAUGUGAAGAAAGGGCAGGGCAAGACCGGUGCCAGCCGCCGCGGUAAUACCGGCUGCUCGAGUGAUGGCCACUAUUACUGGGUUUAAAGCGUCCGUAGCUUGACUGUUAGGUCUCUUGGGAAAUCUUCGCGCUCAACGUGAAGGCGUCUAAGAGAUACCGGCAGUCUUGGAACUGGGAGAGGUAAACCGUACUUCGGGGGUAGGAGUGAAAUCUUGUAAUCCUCGAGGGACGACCUAUGGCGAAGGCAGUUUACCAGAACAGCUUCGACAGUGAGGGACGAAAGCUGGGGGAGCAAACGGGAUUAGAUACCCCGGUAGUCCCAGCCGUAAACAAUGUGCGUUAGGUGUGUCGGUAACCACGUGUUACUGAUGCGCCGAAGAGAAAUCGUGAAACGCACCACCUGGGAAGUACGGUCGCAAGGCUGAAACUUAA